AUUGAACGCUGGCGGCAGGCCUAACACAUGCAAGUCGAGCGGCUGAAGGGAGCUUGCUCCUGGAUUCAGCGGCGGACGGGUGAGUAAUGCCUAGGAAUCUGCCUGGUAGUGGGGGAUAACGUCCGGAAAUGGGCGCUAAUACCGCAUACGUCCUGAGGGAGAAAGUGGGGGAUCUUCGGACCUCACGCUAUCAGAUGAGCCUAGGUCGGAUUAGCUAGUUGGUGGGGUAAAGGCCUACCAAGGCGACGAUCCGUAACUGGUCUGAGAGGAUGAUCAGUCACACUGGAACUGAGACACGGUCCAGACUCCUACGGGAGGCAGCAGUGGGGAAUAUUGGACAAUGGGCGAAAGCCUGAUCCAGCCAUGCCGCGUGUGUGAAGAAGGUCUUCGGAUUGUAAAGCACUUUAAGUUGGGAAGAAGAGCAGUAAGUUAAUACCUUGCUGUUUUGACGGUACCAACAGAAUAAGCACCGGCUAACUUCGUG
rnacentral:rRNA from 1 species